CUGCUGGACUAUAACAAAAUUGCUAACUGGAAUGUGGCCAGUGCAAAUAGUUUCAACGUGAGUACAGGGCAACAAAGCCAGAUUGGCUUGCUGGAAAUAUUGGUAAACCCACUUUGACCUUUACUCUAGGGGAGGAAGAUUGCAGUGGAAACCUGCUAGGCGUUUUCUGUAACGGGAAACUCCCUGCAGGAGAAACAUUUAUUGUUUACGCUUUCACGUGCACAAAUCAUGGGUGUACCACAAGUCCACAAAUUGAAGUUACAACAAAAGCUUCGUUCCCAAUUGCUGCUGUGGUCGGAGGACUAGUUGCUGCAGUUGUCGUCAUCGUUGUUGUGAUCGUCGUCGUGGUUAUCCGUAGACGAAG